AUUCCUAGAAAACCAAAAAUAGAACUCACCCUAGAAGAAGUAGAUAACCUGAGUAGUUCUGUAACUCCUACUAAAGAAAUGGAAUUUGAGGUUAAAAUUCCAUCAAGAAGGAAUCUCCAGGCCCAGAUGGUUUAACUGGAAUUUACUACCUAAUAUUAAAAGAAGGAAAAAAAGCACCAAUUCUAUACAGUCUCUUCCAUAGAUAGAAGAGGAGAUAAAACUUCCCUCAUUCAUUUUAUAAAUCCAGAAUAAAGAUGAUACAAACACCAGAUGGUAAAAGAAGAAAGAGCCCUAGAAGACACAAAAAUCUUCAACAAAAUAUUACCAAAUCAAAUUCAAAAAAUAGAAACAGAAUAAUACAAUAUAACCAAGUACAGUUUUUUCUAAAAAUUCGUUGGUAUAAUCCACCACCUUGAUAGUUUAAAGAAUGAUGAUUAUUGAUUGAUGCAGAAAAAAAAUUAACAAAAUUUCACAUCAUUUGUGAUAGAAUCUCUCAGCAAACUAGAAAUAAAAGGGAACGUCUACAUGAUAAAAGUCCUCUACAAAAAAACCUACAUGUAAUUAUCAUGCCUAAUGUGAAAAGCUGAAUGUUUUUUCCCUAACAUUGGAAGCAAGGCAAGGGAAUACAUUCUCACCACUUAUUCCACAUUGUCCUGGCAGUCCUAGAAAGUACAGUAAAGCAAGGAAAGGAAAUGAAGAGCAUAUAUGCUAUAAAGGAAGUAAUAAAACUGCUAUUUGCAGAAGGCACCAUUGCUAUCAUCUAUGAAGAAAAUCUCAGGCUAUUUAAACUCCUAGAAUUUAAGUAAGCUUAGCGAAGUCACAGGAUACAAGAUGAUCACGCAAUAAUUAACAGUACUUCUAUAUACUAGCCAUGUAAAUUUUAUAAUAUUGGAAAUUAAAAAUCAAUAUUAUUUUUGAUAAUAGAAAUAAAAUGGGAAAAGUGAAAUACAGUUAAAUCUGACAAAAUAUGUACAGCUUCUGUUUACAAAAAUACUAAAAAAUGCUGAUGAAUGAAAUCAGAUAAGACCUAAAUAGAUGGAGAAGAAUACCUUGUUCAUGGACUGGAAUACUUAACAUAGUGAAGAUGCUAAUUCUCCCUAAAUUGAUUUAUAGGUUUUGUGCAUUUCCAAUAAUAGUCCAAGGAGAACUAUUUAAAUAUAUGGACAAGCUGAUUCUAAAAUAUAUGUAUAAAGGCAAAUGAAUCAGAACAACUGAAAAAGUUUGGAAAAAAA
rnacentral:lncRNA from 1 species